UUCUGAUUCCAAUUCCAAGUUUAAUUUCCAUUAGAAUCAAACAAACCCUUAGGUAUCGUUUGGUUCGAGGAUAAGCAAAAAGUGGCUGUUCCAGAAAUAGGUAUAAAUUGAGGUAUAAGCGGGGAUUAGAUUAAUUUUGCAUUUGGAUGAAAAUUGAGUUAUUCCUGGGAAUAAAAAAAAUAGCGUUUGGUUAGUUAAGAUGGAAUAAGAAAGAUAGUGGGUUUUAUAAAUAAAAAAUAAUCAUAUUAUCCUCUAUUAUAUUUGAAUUUAAAUUUUUAAAUUUAAAAUUUUAACUUUGAAAUUUCAAAAUUUGAAAUUUAAAAUCUCAAAUUUUAAAUUCAAAAUUUUAAAUUUUAAAUUUCAAACUUUAAAUUUAAUAUCAAAUUUGAAUUUGAAAAAUAUAAAAUAUCAAAAUUUAAAUUUCAAAUUUAAAAUAUUAAAAUUUAA
rnacentral:lncRNA from 1 species